rnacentral:rRNA from 1 species
CGGCGGACGGCUGAGUAACGCGUGGGAACAUACCCCAAAGUGAGGGAUAAGCAUCGGAAACGGUGUCUAAUACCGCAUGUGGUCUAAGGACUAAAGCCUUCGGGCGCUUUGGGAGCAGCCUGCGUAAGAUUAGUUUGUUGGUGAGGUAAUGGCUCACCAAGACUACGAUCUUUAGCUGGUCUGAGAGGAUGAUCAGCCAGACUGGAACUGAGACACGGUCCAGACUCC